UUUCGCAAUGCCCGAAAGGGUGACGAAGCGACGCCGCGUGGGUGAGGAAGGCCUUCGGGUUGUAAAACCCUGUCAGGAGUUAUGAAAUGUAAGUGCGAUAAUACCGUGCUUAUUUGACAAAGGCUCCAAAGGAAGCCACGGCUAACUCUGUGCCAGCAGCCGCGGUAAUACAGAGGUGGCAAGCGUUGUUCGGAAUUAUUGGGCGUAAAGAGCACGUAGGUGGAUUUGUAAGUCAGAUGUGAAAGCCUUCUGUUCAACGGAAGAAUUGCAUCUGAAACUGCAAACCUUGAGUGUAGGAGGGGAGAAUGGAACUUCUGGUGGAGCGGUGAAAUGCGUAGAUAUCAGAAGGAACGCCGGCGGCGAAAGCGAUUCUCUGGCCUAUUACUGACACUCAGUGUGCGAAAGCUAGGGGAGCAAACGGGAUUAGAUACCCCGGUAGUCCUAGCCGUAAACGAUGGGCACUAAGUAGAGGGGUUUUA
rnacentral:rRNA from 1 species